GAGCAUGACUACAUGCACAUUGAUCGCCGUAACUUCCUUGUCGAGAUGACGAUGUUGUUUAUGACAUGCACGGAAGUUGCAGGACGGAAGUACCAUACUAAGGGACGACGGGGCUCUAGUUCAGUAGGGCAGUGUUGCUCCAAGGUCUAGUUCAAUGGGGCAGUGUUGUUCCAAGGUCCAUAUUGACAGGCUCAACGUGGCCGGAUACGUCCAUGGCGGAGUGGGCCACGACAACACCGCCGACACCAUCACCGGCGGAAUAGCAAACGAGGGACAGCUGAACAUCCAGACAAUGGUAGUGUUACAGUGAAGAUAGGAUGUGAUGGCAAGGGAAUCAUAGAUAGUAUACCACGUGUUUCUACUGACAUUGG